rnacentral:misc_RNA from 1 species
AACGCACAUUGCGCCCCUCGGUAUUCCGUGGGGCAUGCCUGUUCGAGCGUCAUUUACCCCCUCAAGCAUUGCUUGGUGUUGGGCGUCUGUCCCGCUUUGCGCGCGGACUCGCUCCAAAGGUAUUGGCAGCGGUCGUGCCAGCUUCUCGCGCAGCACAUUGCGCUUUUUGAGGUUAGCCGAGCCGCGUCCAUUAAGCACUUUUUUAGUUUGACCUCGGAUCAGGUAGGGAUACCCGCUGAACUUAA